rnacentral:rRNA from 1 species
AGAGUUUGAUCUGGGCUCAGGACGAACGCUGGCAGCGUGCCUAAUACAUGCAAGUCGAACGAACUCUGGUAUUGAUUGGUGCUUGCAUCAUGAUUUACAUUUGAGUGAGUGGCGAACUGGUGAGUAACACGUGGGAAACCUGCCCAGAAGAGGGGGAUAACACCUGGAAACAGAUGCUAAUACCGCAUAACAACUUGGACCGCAUGGUCCGAGUUUGAAAGAUGGCUUCGGCUAUCACUUUUGGAUGGUCCCGCGGCGUAUUAGCUAGAUGGUGAGGUAACGGCUCACCAUGGCAAUGAUACGUAGCCGACCUGAGAGGGUAAUCGGCCACAUUGGGACUGAGACACGGCCCAAACUCCUACGGGAGGCAGCAGUAGGGAAUCUUCCACAAUGGACGAAAGUCUGAUGGAGCAACGCCGCGUGAGUGAAGAAGGGUUUCGGCUCGCAAAACUCUGCUGUUAAAGAAGAACAUAUCUGAGAGUAACUGUUCAGGUGUUGACGGUAUUUAACCAGAAAGCCACGGCUAACUACGUGCCAGCAGCCGCGGUAAUACGUAGGUGGCAAGCGUUGUCCGGAUUUAUUGGGCGUAAAGCGAGCGCAGGCGGUUUUUUAAGUCUGAUGUGAAAGCCUUCGGCUCAACCGAAGAAGUGCAUCGGAAACUGGGAAACUUGAGUGCAGAAGAGGACAGUGGAACUCCAUGUGUAGCGGUGAAAUGCGUAGAUAUAUGGAAGAACACCAGUGGCGAAGGCGGCUGUCUGGUCUGUAACUGACGCUGAGGCUCGAAAGUAUGGGUAGCAAACAGGAUUAGAUACCCUGGUAGUCCAUACCGUAAACGAUGAAUGCUAAGUGUUGGAGGGUUUCCGCCCUUCAGUGCUGCAGCU